GUCCAGUGCCAACGAGCCGCUUUUGAAGUCCAACAUGUUCUCUCUCGGUGGCUCCAAGUUCUUAGGCGCAAUCAACAGAAGCAUCAACUUGGGUGGGCAGAGCGCUCUUGCUCUCCGUCUGCUCCGCGUUGUUUUUCCUUCUAAAAUUUCUACCAGUGCGAACUAUCCGUUUGGAGGAGAGUUCCGAGCAACUAGGAGAGUUUCUGAAGAUAUUGGAAGUACAACACAAAAAGGUCAGAACCACUUUUCAAUCUAACCAGAUGUUUAUAUGUUUGGUGGUGAAGCUACAAAAAUUCUAGACUAUGUGGAAUAUUUCCC